UACCAUACCCUAAUCAAAGAGACUUCUGAACCCUUCUCCUCCAUUCUUCCCCUUUCACAAAAUGGUGACACAAGUUGAAUCCCCCUUCGAUGCUAUCAUCAGACUUCGCUAAUAUUGCAUUCGAGGCUGAGCGAAUGGUCAACUUCGGUGCUGACUGGCUUCACAUGGACAUCAUGGAUGGCCAUAUUGUCCCAAAUCUAACUAUUGGUGCUCCAGUUAUUGAGAGUUUGAGAAAGCACACAAAGGAGUGCAUGGGUCGGUUUUGCCUCAAAACCAUAACCGUAACCCAUAUGUUGGUUAAUGGAUAACUAUAAAGGAUCGGUUAUGGCGAUUUCACUUAAGCGAUCUUAUCAGAUGACACCGAUACCAGCGCGAAGAAAAGGUUUUAUCUGCAGGAAUGAGUUCCAAGAUAUUGAAGGAGGCGUUGAUUCAGCAAACGGAGAUUCAGGAAGAAACCGAUGCGGAGGAAAUUAAUGAUGAUGAGGAGAGGCUGCUGGAAACUUUCUUCUCCAAGGAUGCAACGCCACAGCACACUUUGGCUGAUAUUAUUGUGGAGAAAAUUAAAGAAAAAGAUCAAGUGCCUGCAGGUUUGUCUGCAGGAGUUCAACAUCUGCCCAAAUUGGAUUAUUCAAUCAUAGAGAUAUAUAAGAGGUGCUUUACAUCUUUGAUUUCUAGAUAGGCUUUUUAGCUAGGGAUGUUCAUGGUCGGAGUCGAUUGUUUUUUUUUUAACACUUAAAAGUACUAUUGGAUUUCAAAAGUUGGGUAUAAUGGUAUGCAUAUAAAAGACAUUUUACUUUAUAAGUAGUAAACCGUAUACGAAAAAAAGUGAAGAAAAAAUUACGAGCAUUAAAUGGGUUAAGUUAUAAGUAUUAUAAUUGUAAGAUUUGUCUAAAUGAAAAAAAAAAUGUUUUUUGCUAAAUUUAUAUAGCUUAGUAAGUAUUUUUUUAACAAUCAUAAACCUUACUAAUACGCUUAAUAAUACCUGCAGAUUAUAAUCUACUAAUGCUCUUAAUUUUUUCUUCACUUUUUUUCGUAAACCAGUUAGUACUUUUAUACAUACCGUUUUACCCAACUUCGAAAAUCCAAUGAAAAAAUAUUGUUUUUUCUUCAAAUUAUACAGCUUAAAAAGUAUGUUUUUAAUUUCUUUCGAUAUUUUGGCUGGUUUGGUUUACCCGGACCGCUUUCAAACCUCAACCGAAUCGUGAAACUCGGUUUAUCAAAUCGUAAACAAAAUCAUUUAAGUCUUAACCCGGCCGGAGUUAGCUCAGUUUGGGCGGUUCUGUCGCUUAAAAUCAUAUAAUUGUAUAAAGUGUAUGCAUUAAGACCGUAAAUGCAUUAAGACCCUAAACAACCAUAAUUCCACCGACUAUAAACAACCUAGAGAUCGCCGCCGCAACGCGCGGCAUCUGGCACCAUCCUAGUAUAAUAUAAUAUAUAUAUUUUUAAUAUAUAAAUAAGAGUGAAUUGCAAAUUUUGUCCUUUAUAUUUACACCCAUUUGCAGGCGCUGUCCUUUAUCUUUAAAAUUGACGAGUUUUGUACUUUGUGUUUUCAAAUCAUACAUGUUUUGUCCUUUACACCUAACCCAGUUAGUUUUUUCAGUUAAAUUUGGUCUAUGUGGUUUUCAUAUGAGGACAUUUUUGUCAAUUCAAAUUUGAUCUCUUCCACCCAUCACCACGCCAUCACAACCUGCCACCACCCACCCUACCUCCUCCACCUCCACCUCCACCCGUCAAGAAUGCCAAUGCAAAAUGUAAACAAUUAAUAAAAGCAAUGAAACAUUCAAAGUUCAAAUAUUUGGAAUAUCAUGUAAACUAAACAUAUUAAAACAUAUUAUCAAAAUCAUAACCUCCUCAACAACUUUCUCUCUCAGCCGUUCAGAUAGGUGUUACAUGAUCUUGUGAAAUUGCCCACAAAUCUGGAUGAAUCGAACAUCCCCCACUGGAUACAGGUGUUAACUCGUCCUCUACACCCUUGGAUUCUACCUAUUUGGAACAAGGGAGUCCAAUUUUAGGCCGUUCACCCCACCCCACCCCACACCACAACACCAUCGCUCCACCCCACACCACCAUCGCCACCACCACCACAACCCACCGCCCCCACCUGUUAAACCACCACCACCCACGGCACCACUCCAAAACGAAGUCGCCGAUCACCACAUCUACCGCCUCCACCCACCGCACCACUUCAAAAUGAAGUCGCCGGCCACCACAUUUACCACCUUUAAAACAAAGUCACCUGGCAUCACCAUCCACCGCUGCCCAACCAUCCACCACCCACUCAACACAAUCACAACCAUCCAUCAUUUCCCCACUUCCAAUAAAGAUUAAUAAAGAAUGUGAGUUCCAUUAAAUAUUUCACCCGAAAGAUUAAAGAAAUCAUAAACCAACAAAUAAAGAAGAAAAAAAAGAAGCCCACUAGAUCUGCCAAAAUUAGGUCAAAUAUUUUGUCUUAAUGGAAUUCUCUAAAAAUUAAAUUUGACAUGAUACACUGGGGUUCCAAUUAGAUAUGUGAAUAACCUUUAAAUACCCCACCGCCACAAUCGGAUAAGGUUCCAGAUCUGGUCGGUGUAUGUGCGUGCAGUGACUUUACAGGUCAAAAUAUCUCAAUGAACAACUGAUUGGAAAUGAUGCUUCUUCACCCAAAUUCGCAACAACAGACCUAGUAAAGAUGGCAAGGUGUUGCAGAAUUUGUUGAAUUGUUUGUGGAUGUUGGAACUUUUAGAGUUAGGGAUUUGUUUAACUUUGAGCAGGUGUGUGAGAGAGAGAGAGAGAGAGAGAGAGAGUACAGAGAGAGAAAGGGUAUUGAGAGUGUGUGUGUUGAGUUUUUAUAUAUUUUAUUUCUUUAUUUUGCAAUUAAAUAGGUAAAAUUACAAAAGUACCAUCAUGUGACAUGCACAUGAUCUCAUUUAGCAUUAAAAACUAACUGGGUUAGGCUCAAAGGACAAACCGUGCAAAAUUUUGAAACAUAAAGUACAAAACUCGUCAAUUUUAAAGAUAAAGGACAACGCCUGCAAAUGGGUAUAAAGAU